rnacentral:rRNA from 1 species
UACGAAGGGGGCUAGCGUUGCUCGGAAUCACUGGGCGUAAAGCGCACGUAGGCGGCUUUCUAAGUCAGGGGUGAAAUCCUGGAGCUCAACUCCAGAACUGCCUUUGAUACUGGCGAUCUUGAGUCCGGGAGAGGUGAGUGGAACUGCGAGUGUAGAGGUGAAAUUCGUAGAUAUUCGCAAGAACACCAGUGGCGAAGGCGGCUCACUGGCCCGGUACUGACGCUGAGGUGCGAAAGCGUGGGGAGCAAACAGGG